UGUUGAGUUUGGCUGGCCUUUGGCCCCCUGGUCCCCAUGGGUCUUGUCCUUCUGGGCCUGGGACUACUCACUAUUAGUAUUACCAUGAGCAAAUCAUAGUGUUUAAAGCAUGCUUUUCAACUUGAACGUGUUAAAUGGAAUAAUGAAAUAUGACCCAUGGUCUAUGUUUCUGGUUUUGAGACCCAGAUUAAUGAUGAAUAGGAGGGGUCGGGGGCAUUUGUAUUUCGGCGCUAAUUCUGAAAUUCUUGGAUUGCUAGAAGAUGCCUACUGCUUGCCAUUUGACCCAGGACAUCUCCAUUGAUCAGGGGGUAUUGUUGAGUGAUGGAAGAAGAUUAGAGGCUGUAAUAGUAUUAACCACAAUCGAAGUCGAAUAGAUAUAGUGCUUGACUAAGGAAUCUUGCUAGGGAUUUUAGUGAAAGCAAAGUCUCCGGGUUAGAGGGGGAGUACGGCUGGCUACGGUGGAAGUUAAGUGACUUGACGGAAGGGCACCACCAGGAGUGGAACGGCCGCCCCAAUGGGAGUCCACACGGGGAAACUCACCAGGUCCAGACAUAAGGAGGAUUGACCGAUCGCAAGCUCUUUUUAGAGAGUAUGGGUGGUGGUGCAUGGCCGUUCUUAGUUCGUGGAGUGAUUUGUCUGGUUAAUUCCGAUAACGAACGAGACCUUAUUUUGCGAAAUAGACAGACUCAUUUUUAAAAGCCCGGAAGGCUUCGCAGUUUGCUGUCUUUUUAGAGAGACCAUCG
rnacentral:rRNA from 1 species